rnacentral:rRNA from 1 species
AUUGAACGCUGGCGGCAGGCCUAACACAUGCAAGUCGAACGAGUGGCGGACGGGUGAGUAACGUCCGGGAACCCGCUUGAUGGAGGGGGAUAACUAUUGGAAACGGUAGUAAUUCCCGUAUAUCAUCGGCCGUGCCCAGAUGGAAUUGGCUAGUAGGUGGGGUAAAGGCUCACCAAGGCGACGAUCCAUAGCUGGUCUGAGAGGAUGACCAGCCACACGGGAACUGAGAAAGGGUCCAGCCUCCUACGGGAGGCAGCAGUAGGGAAUAUUGCGCAAGGGGCGAAAGCCUGAUAGAGCGAAGCCGCGUGGAUGAAGAAGGCCUUCGGGUUGUAAAGUACUGUCAGCAGGGAGGCGUUACCCGCAGAGAAAGCACCGGCUAACUCCGUGCCAGCAGCCGCGGUAAUUC